GAUGAACGCUGGCGGCGUGCCUAAUACAUGCAAGUCGAGCGAACGGACGAGAAGCUUGCUUCUCUGAUGUUAGCGGCGGACGGGUGAGUAACACGUGGAUAACCUACCUAUAAGACUGGGAUAACUUCGGGAAACCGGAGCUAAUACCGGAUAAUAUUUUGAACCGCAUGGUUCAAAAGUGAAAGACGGUCUUGCUGUCACUUAUAGAUGGAUCCGCGCUGCAUUAGCUAGUUGGUAAGGUAACGGCUUACCAAGGCAACGAUGCAUAGCCGACCUGAGAGGGUGAUCGGCCACACUGGAACUGAGACACGGUCCAGACUCCUACGGGAGGCAGUAGUAGGGAAUCUUCCGCAAAGGGCGAAAGCCUGACGGAGCAACGCCGCGUGAGUGAUGAAGGUCUUCGGAUCGUAAAACUCUGUUAUUAGGGAAGAACAUAUGUGUAAGUAACUGUGCACAUCUUGACGGUACCUAAUCAGAAAGCCACGGCUAACUACGUG
rnacentral:rRNA from 1 species